GGAGAAAUGGCUCAGUGGUUAAGAGCACUUGUUGCUGUUCUUAGAGGACCUGGGUUUGAUCCCAGUAUCCUCU
rnacentral:tRNA from 1 species